AAUCAGCUAUCAAGCCGACCGGUGGCAAGGAAUAAGGGCCGCUGGAAAGAAGCGGGACCCAGAAACUGCUGGAAGGAAGCAGAAAUCAGGGCUGCUGGAAGGAAGCAGAACCCAGGGCUGCUGGAAGGAAGCGGGACCCUGGAGAAGCCACUGGAAGGAAGUGGGACCCAGAAACUGCUGAAAGGAAGCAGGAAUCAGGGCUGCUGAAAGGAAGCAGGAAUCACGGCUGCUGAAAGGAAGCGGAAACCAGGGCCGCUGGAAGGAAGCGGAACCCAGGGCCGCUGGAAGGAAGCAGGACCCGAGAUAAUCUGCUGGAAGGAAGUGGGACCCCAGAGAAGCUGGUGGAAGGUAGCAGGACACAGAAACUGCUGAAAGGAAGCACGAAUCAGGGCUGCUGAAAGGAAGCAGGACUCAGGGCUGCUGAAAGGAAGCAGAACCCAGGGCCGCUGGAAGGAAGUGGGACCCAAAGAAGCCGCUGGAAGGAAGUGGAACCAGGCAGCCACAUUCAUUUCUGCAGGACAGAGGUCCUUCUGCUGGGAGCACCACCCUUGGCAGGCAGCGGAGGCAGCUCCAUCUCAGGACACCAUCUGCGUCAUCUGCCUGGAGCCCGUGGGGGACAGCACGUCCUACCACACCAUGGUGUGCCCAGUGUGCAAACAGGCCUCGUUCCACCGGGGCUGCAUCAGGAAACAGGCCAUGCAUGCUGCCAUCCUGUGCUACUUCUGCCCCGUCUGCAGUGAAAAGGCGUGAUUCUGCUCAGAAAUGACCAUCAUGGGAAUCCAAACCCCAGUCAGGUUGGUGUCCUUCUGCCCAGCUCUGCAGACACUCAGGCACAGGUGCUGUGCCUGCCCAGGCCUGGGUCUUUGCUGUCCUGUGAGCACUGGUCUCAGCUUCAUGGAGAAGCUGGGAAUGAGCUCAAGGUGGAUGAGCAGGGAUGCCCUGGAUCUGCCUCGCGCCUAGGGCGCCGGGGGCUCGUCACUUUCCCUCCUU